AUUGAACGCUGGCGGCAGGCCUAACACAUGCAAGUCGAGCGGAUGAAGGGAGCUUGCUCCUGGAUUCAGCGGCGGACGGGUGAGUAAUGCCUAGGAAUCUGCCUGGUAGUGGGGGAUAACGUCCGGAAACGGGCGCUAAUACCGCAUACGUCCUGAGGGAGAAAGUGGGGGAUCUUCGGACCUCACGCUAUCAGAUGAGCCUAGGUCGGAUUAGCUAGUUGGUGGGGUAAAGGCCUACCAAGGCGACGAUCCGUAACUGGUCUGAGAGGAUGAUCAGUCACACUGGAACUGAGACACGGUCCAGACUCCUACGGGAGGCAGCAGUGGGGAAUAUUGGACAAUGGGCGAAAGCCUGAUCCAGCCAUGCCGCGUGUGUGAAGAAGAUCUUCGGAUUGUAAAGCACUUUAAGUUGAGAGGAAGGGCAGUAAGUUAAUACCUUGCUGUUUUGACGUUACCAACAGAAUAAGCACCGGCUAACUUCGUG
rnacentral:rRNA from 1 species